AAGAGUCAAGAACGUUCUUCAGGAGACACUCUAGAGAUGAGCUCUUCUCCAGGAUUAGUGACUGUGAUACUCUUCCUGCUGGGACAAACCCGUGGAGACUCAGUGAGCCAGAUGGACGGCCAAGUGACCCUUUUGGAAGGGGCUACCUUGACUGUGAACUGUACUUAUUCAGCCACCGGGUACCCCUUUCUUUUCUGGUAUGUCCAGUAUCCUGGAGAAGGUCCAGAACUCUUCCUGAAAGCCAUGAAGGCUAAUGACAAGGAAACCAGCAAAGGUUUUGAAGCCACAUACAACGCAAAAACCACCUCCUUCCACUUGGAGAAAGCCUCAGUCCAGGAGUCAGACUCGGCUGUGUACUACUGCGCUCUGAGAGACACAGUGACGGGAACUGCAGGGGGAGCUGAGGGCAAACUGAGCAGCAACGGGGCCUGGAUGCACUGUGGUUCCCACAGAGCCUGUGGUUGUCUGUCUCUUAGUCUCUGGUUGAUACAAAAAACGUACAAAUGGCUAAAGCAUAAGAAUAAGAAGAGAAUAUUCCCCAUACCCAACUCUUUACUAGUAAAACUGAAAACUCUCUGA